rnacentral:rRNA from 1 species
GAGCGUAUCGGGGGCUUGCCCCCCGGNAGAGCGGCGGAUUGGUGAGUAACGCGUGGUGACCUGCCUUGAGGCUGGGGAUAGCCGCUAGAAAUAUCGGGUAAUACNGAAUACGACCGCCGGACUAUGGUNUGGNGAGGAAAGGGGCUUUGGCCCCGCCUUGAGAUGGGCCCGCGUCCUAUUAGGCAGUUGGCGGGGUAAGAGCCCACCAAACCGAAGAUAGGUAGCCGGCCUGAGAGGGUGACCGGCCACAUUGGGACUGAGAUACGGCCUAAANUCNUACGGGAGGCAGCAGCUAAGAAUAUUCCGCAAUGGACGAAAGUCUGACGGAGCGACGCCGCGUGGAUGACGAAGGCCGGAAGGUUGUAAAAUCCUUUUGCCGCUGAAGAAUAAGCGGGGUAGGGAAUGACCCCGUGAUGACGUUAGNUG